rnacentral:rRNA from 1 species
AGUGAACGCUGGCGGUAGGCCUAACACAUGCAAGUCGAACGGCAGCACAGUAAGAGCUUGCUCUUACGGGUGGCGAGUGGCGGACGGGUGAGGAAUACAUCGGAAUCUACUUUUUCGUGGGGGAUAACGUAGGGAAACUUACGCUAAUACCGCAUACGACCUACGGGUGAAAGCAGGGGAUCUUCGGACCUUGCGCGAUUGAAUGAGCCGAUGUCGGAUUAGCUAGUUGGCGGGGUAAAGGCCCACCAAGGCGACGAUCCGUAGCUGGUCUGAGAGGAUGGUCAGCCCAGCUGGAACUGAGACACGGUCCAGGCUCCUCCGGGAGGCAGCAGUGGGGAAUAUUGGACAAUGGGCGCAAGCCUGAUCCAGCCAUACCGCGUGGGUGAAGAAGGCCUUCGGGUUGUAAAGCCCUUUUGUUGGGAAAGAAAAGCAGCAGGUUAAUACCCCGCUGUUCUGACGGUACCCAAAGAAUAAGCACCGGCUAACUUCGUG